AUACUGAAAUGCAUGGUGGGAAAUCAGUGUGAAAUUCAUUGGCUGUACCUGCAACCGUAGAGUCGGAGCGCCACCCAGUAU
ncrna:unclassified sequences AdoCbl variant RNA